GGACAUUACCGAGUUUACAACUCCCAAACCCCUGUGAACAUACCUAUACGUUGCCUCGGCGGAUCAGCCCGCGCCCUGUAAAAAGGGACGGCCCGCCCGAGGACCCUAAACUCUGUUUUUAGUGGAACUUCUGAGUAAAACAAACAAAUAAAUCAAAACUUUCAACAACGGAUCUCUUGGUUCUGGCAUCGAUGAAGAACGCAGCAAAAUGCGAUAAGUAAUGUGAAUUGCAGAAUUCAGUGAAUCAUCGAAUCUUUGAACGCACAUUGCGCCCGCCAGUAUUCUGGCGGGCAUGCCUGUUCGAGCGUCAUUUCAACCCUCAAGCUCAGCUUGGUGUUGGGACUCGCGGUAACCCGCGUUCCCCAAAUCGAUUGGCGGUCACGUCGAGCUUCCAUAGCGUAGUAAUCAUACACCUCGUUACUGGUAAUCGUCGCGGCCACGCCGUAAAACCCCAACUUCUGAAUGUUGACCUCGGAUCAGGUAGGAAUACCCGCUGAACUUAAGCAUAUCAAUAAGCGGAGGGAAAGAAA
rnacentral:rRNA from 1 species